ACCACUGAGCCACCUUCCCAGCCCUGUGUCUAUGUUUUUAAAAGAAUGAUUUUGGUUUUGGGCUGGGAAGGUGGCUCAGUGGU
rnacentral:pre_miRNA from 1 species